ensembl:lncRNA
GGGGGAGGAGGAGGAGGAAGGGACAGAGCCGGGGGAGGAGGAGGAGGAAGGGACAGAGCAGUGAGAGAGGAGAGGUAGAGAGGAGAGGUAGAGAGCAGAGGUAGAGAGGAAAGAGAGAGUAGAGAGACAGGGUAAAGAGGAGAGGGAGAGAGCAGAGGUAGAGAGCAGAGGUAGAGAGAGGAAAGAGAGAGUAGAGAGACAGGGUAAAGAGAGGAGAGGGAGAGAGCAGAGGUAGAGAGAGGAAAGAGAGAGUAGAGAGACAGGGUAAAGAGAGGAGAGGGAGAGAGCAGAGGUAGAGAGAGGAAAGAGAGAAGAGAGAGACAGGGUAAAGAGAGGAGGUAGAGAGCAGAGGUAGAGAGAGGAAAGAGAGAGUAGAGAGACAGGGUAAAGAGGAGAGGGAGAGAGCAGAGGUAGAGAGCAGAGGUAGAGAGGAAAGAGAGAGUAGAGAGACAGGGUAAAGAGAGGAGAGGGAGAGAGCAGAGGUAGAGAGAGGAAAGAGAGAGUAGAGAGACAGGGUAAAGAGAGGAGGUAGAGAGCAGAGGUAGAGAGAGGAAAGAGAGAUUAGAGAGACAGGGUAAAGAG